rnacentral:rRNA from 1 species
GGACUCUGGCGGGACUGCCUGUGCAAGCAGGAGGAAGGCGUGGACGACGUCAAGUCAGUAUGGCCCUUACGACCAGGGCUGCANACGUGCNACAAUGGGUACUACAGAAGGAAGCUAAGCCGCGAGGUGGCGCAAAUCCCGAAAAGUAUCCCCAGUUCGGAUUGGAGUCUGCAACUCGACUCCAUGAAGUCGGAAUCGCUAGUAAAGGCGUAUCAGCNACGGCGCCUUGAAUACGUUCCCGGGCCUUGUACACACCGCCCGUCACAUCAUGGGAGCCUACUGCACCCGAAGUCGCUGUCCCAACCCCUUGUGGGAGGGAGGCGCCGAAGGUGUGGUCGGUGCCUGGGAUGAAGUCGUAACAAGGUAACA